rnacentral:rRNA from 1 species
UGGGGAAUAUUGCACAAUGGGGGAAACCCUGAUGCAGCAACGCCGCGUGAGUGAAGAAGUAUUUCGGUAUGUAAAGCUCUAUCAGCAGGGAAGAUAAUGACGGUACCUGACUAAGAAGCNCCGGCUAACUACGUGCCAUGCGCCGCGGUAAUACGUAGGGGGCAAGCGUUAUCCGGAUUUACUGGGUGUAAAGGGAGCGCAGGCGGCAGGGCAAGUCAGAUGUGAAAGCCCGGGGCUCAACCCCGGGACUGCAUUUGAAACUGUCCAGCUGGAGUACAGGAGAGGCAGGCGGAAUUCCUAGUGUAGCGGUGAAAUGCGUAGAUAUUAGGAGGAACACCAGUGGCGAAGGCGGCCUGCUGGACUGUAACUGACGCUGAGGCUCGAAAGCGUGGGGAGCGAACAGG